rnacentral:rRNA from 1 species
AUGAACGCUGGCGGCGUGCCUAAUACAUGCAAGUCGAGCGAACAGACGAGGAGCUUGCUCCUCUGACGUUAGCGGCGGACGGGUGAGUAACACGUGGAUAACCUACCUAUAAGACUGGGAUAACUUCGGGAAACCGGAGCUAAUACCGGAUAAUAUAUUGAACCGCAUGGUUCAAUAGUGAAAGACGGUUUUGCUGUCACUUAUAGAUGGAUCCGCGCCGCAUUAGCUAGUUGGUAAGGUAACGGCUUACCAAGGCGACGAUGCGUAGCCGACCUGAGAGGGAGAUCGGCCACACGGGAACUGAGAGCCGGUCCAGACUCCUACGGGAGGCAGCAGUAGGGAAUCUUCCGCAGUGGGCGAAAGCCUGACGGAGCAACGCCGCGUGAGUGAUGAAGGUCUUCGGAUCGUAAAACUCUGUUAUUAGGGAAGAACAAAUGUGUAAGUAACUAUGCACGUCUUGACGGUACCAAAUCAGAAAGCCACGGCUAACUACGU